GAUGAAUGCUGGCGGCGUGCCUAAUACAUGCAAGUCGUAUGGAAAGGCCCUUCGGGGUACUCGAGUGGCGGACGGCUGAGUAACGCGUGGGAACGUGCCCCAAAGUGAGGAAUAACUGCCCGAAAGGGUAGCUAAUGCCGCAUAUGGUCUUCGGAUUAAAGCUUCGGCGCUUUGGGAGCGGCCCGCGUACGAUUAGAUAGUUGGUGAGGUAAUGGCUCACCAAGUCGACGAUCGUUAGCUGGUCUGAGAGGAUGAUCAGCCAGACUGGAACUGAGACACGGUCCAGACUCCUACGGGAGGCAGCAGUAAGGAAUCUUCCACAAUGGGCGAAAGCCUGAUGGAGCAACGCCGCGUGCAGGAUGAAGGCCUUCGGGUCGUAAACUGCUUUUAUAAGUGAAGAAUAUGACGGUAACUUAUGAAUAAGCACCGGCUAACUACGUGCCAGCCGCCGCGGUAA
rnacentral:rRNA from 1 species